UACAACACUGACAAACACAAUCUAACCCAAUAACCCAUUUCAGUACUCAAGUAAGUGCAAUCACUCACUUCAUAUACCUAUGCUUAAAUACUCAGAAAACAAAGCCCAGAAUCAAUCAUUUCACGCCUUGUGCCUUACUCCUUGUGUACUGACACUUUUAUGCAUUGCCAUUACAAAAUGGGAAACGUUUUUAAUGCCCCCAAAUAAACUAUUUUUCUUAUUUAAUUCUCUUUUUCUGCUUCUAAAGCUUUUAAAGUAUGAAUAUAUCUUCAUUGUGAAAUAAAAAACAGCCACACCUUUUAUGCACAGACCGGUUCGGUGUAUUAAAUAUACACUUUUAUUCCAUUCUAUACAAAUAUUAACGUAAUAUUUAUGUAAAUAGAUUCCUAUAAAAGCAAAUAAAAAUCUAAAAACAUGUUUGCAUGCACGAUAUAAACAAAUUCAAAAACAUCUUUUGAAAGCAUGGUUUAAAAAAAGAUAAUUGUUUCAGGUACACAGUCAAAUAACUUCUAAUAUUUUCACAAUUUUCUUUCUUAACUCAUUCGCGUAGUCGUAUUUUUAUCGUUCUUUGUCUUCGCUUCAAUUGUCUGGAAGAAUAUCUCUCAAAAGUUCUUCGAUAUUUGAGUCAGUAAAUAAUCCGGUAGUCAGAGCAAUAGUAUUGAAUGCACAGUAAAUGCGAUCACUUACUUCUUACCUUUUAUCUUUACUUAUAGUUUUUGAGAUGAACUUGAGAUCAGUGAGACCUUAAAUUUGACCCAAUCUCGGCCUAUUACCUUUAAUGAGUACUUAUCUUAUUCUUUGAUCUGGGAGAGUUAAUUAUCACGUUGUGUCGUCCGGCCCUGGUCCUGUCCGGUUGGUAUCUUAUGACUUUGGACCGAUAGGCUACUUCGCAUGUUCCAGGACUGUUCAGCCUUACGGUACACAGGUUCCCCAAGCCUUAGAUAGUGCCAGUUGACGUAGGGAUAUGUUAUUUGGGCCUCUAGUGGUGUACUCAGCUGUAAUGGGGAAGGACCGUAGUGAAUUUUGAAUAGGGAAAUUGGCAAGAAGACACGUGUCGUGCGCCGAUAGCGCCUCACUCUCGGGCAGUGGGAAGGUCGCCUGAUCUGGACCAUUGAUCAUGGUUGUCUUUAACGAUGGUGAUGUGCUGGCAGUUACGAAAAUCUUCCUUAUAAAUAGGGUGAUGGGUGUUUUGUCACUUUCAUUAUUCUCCUUCUUUUUGCUUUGCAUACCGUCCGACUUCCUUAUCGCAUCUCUUUUAUUUUGGUAAUAAUAACGAGCAUUGUGCACCUUUUUUCGUCUGAGGAGUCAUCGGGUAGAGGCGAUGGGGAUCCAACGGGGUCGAGUAACCGGCCUUCGUCUCCAAGCUCCGUGUCGUCUUCGUAUAUCUGGGAAACCAAACGAGAAAUUACCUCAGGGUCUCAAUCCCCUCCCACAUAUGGCGAAGGGCUAUCAACGGGGUAGCCAUCGGUCUUUGCGUCGACGGUGUCGAUAUUGAUGAUGAGGAGGCUGCUCCUGCUAGCAAUUUUCCAUGAUUAACGACUAUGGUAGGCGGUGCAUGAGGUCGGUCUUUACACGUCAUGUUUCCUUCGCAAAAGGAACCUGGAGUGGUGGGCCGACCGGUCGCACAUGGUGCAGUGUAUUGAGGAUGUGAGUUUAAUCAGACUCGGUGCUUGCAAAAGGAACGAACGGGUAUACCAUGGGAAGGAGUCAAGUACCAAAGAUUUCUUCUUUGUUUAUACUUAUCUUUUUUCCCAAAUGUAUGUUCGAGUGACCUUCGCCACCUUUCAGUCGGACGUGUUGUGCAAACUUAACAUCGCCCCCACCCAGCUCCAUCCGAACGGAUGGACAUGCAUACAUGCUUUCGUGAUAACUCCAUCGGUUCCUAUUUUCUUACAUUACUAUCACGUCCGGCCGCUCAUCAAGCGAGGAUGGGUGUUGUUGACCCCAUGAGAAAUAAAUGGUUAUAUAAACCAUUCUCGGAUUCUUUUAAAGGGUUUAAGACGAGGUAUUUUAAUAUAAUCACAAUUUCAGAACCUCAACCAUUGCCAUACAUUCAAGCCAUUAAAAUGAAGAUGAACCACAACUUAAGCAUAUGGUAAUUCUGUAUAGGUUCACGGCAUACCUCUUAGAGCUUUCUUCUAAAUCUUCUCUUCGGUUUGAGGCUUCUUUAUUUUUCUCUUCCUUUGUUUCCACUUUUCUCUUUCUAAUCUUGUUUCUCCCUGUUCCAGACUCUUUUCUUCUUUUCCUCCUUACUUUUCAGUAACUUCUCUCUUUUAUUUCCUAUUUUCCUCGGUCACGGACCAUUAUCCUCUUUCUUUAGAAUGGUCCCUCCAUCAUCAGCAUUCACUUUCUCCGUCCUUGGAUCUUUCUUAUCAACACUGUAUUUUUUUCAUUCUUGUGAUUCUUCUAAAUGUCGACAAACAAUGGCCAAGUAAAGGGAUCAAUGUUAGCUAAUAGACAACUUUUUAUUGGCUUUUGCAUGGCUAAAGCAUCCCAAGAGUAUAAAGGAUGAAAUAUGUGUUAUAAUGAUGAAAAUGUACUUUUUUUCUUUGUGUACUUGUUAUUUAAUUUUUUUUGUUUGUUUAAAAAAACAUGUAUACAAAAUAUACAAAGAUGAAAAUAAAAAUAAAACAAAAUGAGAUAAAAUAAAAUAAAUUAAAGAUAAAAUUAAAAAUAAUAAGGUUUGAUUUAUUAUAACAUUUUUUUUUAAUUUUAGUUCAAGUACUCAAGGGCAUCUAUCAUUUAUGACGUAUAUUUAGGAGUUAGUUAGUGUAAUAUACGAAAUUAAAUUAAUAUUAUCAUGUUGUCAUGGGACCUGAAAAGAUAAACUACAUUUUUCAAAAAUAUAUACUUUGCGUCUCAUGUGCUAAUAAAGAUUUGACUUGAAUUUCAAAGAAGAACUUAUGAAAUAGUUUUCAAUUUAUCUAAUAGUUACAAUUGCAUGUGUUUAUUUUGAACCUAUUUAAAUGUUUUAUGUCCGAAAAUUGAAGUUAAAAACUGCAUCUGGAAUUGAAGUAGGCUGGAAGUGUGGAUGAUGUUUGAAAUAGGAGAUGAAGUGGAGGAUCAUUUACAGCUUAGCUCUGGUUUCUGAAUGAUGUCAUGAAGAGCCUCAGUUCAACUAUUGUGUCCACAAGCCUUUUGGUGUUUCAAUUUCUGAAUUUUCGUUAAUUACUAUCCUUUAUUUUGUUGUUAUCUGUUUUUUUUUGGAUAAAAUGAGAUUAGGAUUAAUAGUCAACAUCAUUUUGUGUAGCCUCGUUGAAAUUAAAUAUUAUUGGCAAAGUUUAGUACAACGUCCUGUAGGUGAAUUCUUGUACUAUGAUUCAAUUAUUUAUAAAUUAAAAUUAUUAACUUAAAAAUAAAAAUAAAUUUUUACUAGUUUCUACUUUGUAAUUUAUUUAACCAUUUCAAAUGUGUGCAAUCGUUUUUCUUUAAAAGAUAAGGUUUUGGUAACUAUUUCUAUUUUAGGAUUCUCUUCUUCCAAUAAUUAUCUUGUUAGUUUUUUCAUUAAAAUUUUCUUUCAACAAUUCUUUUCUUUCAGGAUGAUUAGGUUUUCUUGAGCAUAACUUUAAAAUAUGAUCGUCGAUCUAGAUGUUGUAAGUGUCAUUUGUUUUUGGAAAUCUAUGGAGAUCGUAAUUAGGACUAGGCUCGGUUGACUUAAAACUCUAAACUAUAACUUAUCUGAACUGUUUUUUACUUAAAAACCUUAAACUAUGUUUACUAGAAACCAAUUAUACUGUUUAAUAAUUCAGUAUUAAAAUACUGAACUUAUUCUAUAUGAACUUUGAAUUGUCUUUACCUCAUCCUCUAUCACAAUUUUGUUCCCCAUCUCUUACAACUCGUGCUGUUGUUGAAGGCUCGUAGCUGUCUAUCAAAGGUUUGCCGCGGUCGAAGGUUCGUCUCAGUUGAAGACUCACCGUUAUCCAAGGCUUUUCCGCACUCUGCCGUCACCUAAUUGUUGAAGGCUCUACCACUCUCGUCGAAAGUUCGUCACAUGGGAAAAGAGUUUCUCCACUAAUGAAAAGUAUUUGUUAGCACCAGAAUUUAUUUCAAAGAACCAAAAGGUUAAAAAGAAUUACUAAGGAUAAAAAUAAAAUUCAAUAAUUUCUGAUAAAAAACAUAUUUAAAUUUAUAUAUGUCUUUCUCUUUUUAUAUUAAUUGCAUUAUAUACUAUUGCAUGGAAACAUGUUCUAUUAGGUGAAAAAUACAUGAAUCAUUAAAAUUGGAAUAUGUAAUAAUAGUAUUAUCCUUAAUUUAUACAUGGAUAGAGCAAACUAUUUACUAAUCUCGUAGAGCAAACCAUUGAUCAAUAGCCUUGGGGAUGUUCUCCUUGUUAAUCAGCAUCCUACGGAACCAGGUGAGACCUUUCACAGUCACAGUAUCGUCCAAUGCCCUUCUACCUGUGAUCAGUUCCAUCAAAAUUACUCCAAAUGCAUACACAUGGUCGAAAGUUAUGCCUACAGAAGGUAUUAUCAUCAGCUUCGACCAUCACACUCAUUCUGUGUUCGAAGAUCAAGUUUGAUGAGGUUACAUGACUGAACCAAAUCGGCAAUUGAGGUUAGAUGACCGGACCAAGUCGGCGGCCCUGGAGAGAGAGCGAGGUGAGUUGGGAGAGGGAGUUGAGAUGCGGAGGUAGCGUUCCGGUUGGAACAGGUUCUGAAUCUGAUCGAUGAAAUCGUUGGCACCAUAGUAGCGGUUGGCGGGUAUACCCUCGGAGUAGUUGUUGGUGAGGGUAAUCCCCAGCGCCUCUAUGACCGCGAACAGCAAAGGUGAUAGAACAGAGAAGAAUACCUAUGCUACACUUCUCAGAGCCAAGGACAAAAACAUGUUCGGAUGAGUAUUAGAAGUUGG
rnacentral:lncRNA from 1 species